UAAACUACGAUUAGAUACCCUAUUAUUCUAAGCGUUAAUUAAAGGCCAGAGUAGUAUGAGUUAGGUUCUUGAAACUCAAAGAAUUUGGCGGUGUUUUAGUCUAAUCAGAGGAACCUGUCCUGUGAUCGAUAUUCCACGUUUACUUGACUUAGUUUUGUGUCCAGCUUGUAUACCGCCGUCGAAAGAGUGAUUCUAGAGAAUAUCCUCUAAUACCCUUAUUAGGGAAUAUGUCAGGUCAAGGUGCAGUUUAUGGCUAAGGAGAGAUGGGUUACAAUAAUAUGAAUUAAAUGGAUGCUGUUUUGUAAUAGAUGGUUGAAGGUGGAUUUGAGGGUAAUUAAGUUUAGGUAAAUUUGAUGAUAAAAGCUCUAAAACAAGCACACAU
rnacentral:rRNA from 1 species